GAUGAACGCUGGCGGCGUGCCUAAUACAUGCAAGUCGAGCGAACGGAUAAGAAGCUUGCUCCUUUGAUGUUAGCGGCGGACGGGUGAGUAACACGUGGAUAACCUACCUAUAAGACUGGGAUAACUUCGGGAAACCGGAGCUAAUACCGGAUAAUAUUUUGAACCGCAUGGUUCAAAAGUGAAAGAUGGUUUUGCUGUCACUUAUAGAUGGAUCCGCGCUGCAUUAGCUAGUUGGUAAGGUAACGGCUUACCAAGGCAACGAUGCAUAGCCGACCUGAGAGGGUGAUCGGCCACACUGGAACUGAGACACGGUCCAGACUCCUACGGGAGGCAGCAGUAGGGAAUCUUCCGCAAUGGGCGAAAGCCUGACGGAGCAACGCCGCGUGAGUGAUGAAGGUCUUCGGAUCGUAAAACUCUGUUAUUAGGGAAGAACAUAUGUGUAAGUAACUGUGCACGUCUUGACGGUACCUAAUCAGAAAGCCACGGCUAACUACGUG
rnacentral:rRNA from 1 species